rnacentral:siRNA from 1 species
GGGCAUUUGGUCUAGUGGUAUG